CACAAGUACAGGAGUUCGGCAAUACCCGAACGAUAACGCACCCUGAAACCAGAGAGAUAUACCGACCAACCCCACGAACUGAGUUUCGCACACCUGUACCGGCAGGACCUACACGGUAUACGGGACCACCCAGCAAUUACCCUCAGGAGCGCUCCCGCCCUACAUGCUACAAAUGCAAGCAGCCGGGGCACCUGAUGGCCAGCUGUCC